UUGGUUACUCUACAUACUAGAUACUACGAUUCAUUACAAGCUGGAGCCUACGGAGAGGCGAAACGAUUUGAUACCACCUUAAUAAAAUCUUUUGAAGAUUCAUCCAUGUUAAUGAGUAAACGAAAAAAUCGUGCGUCAUUAAAUCCAUUAGCUGGAAACACGUUUGGCGCAAACAAAAGAUCAAAUAAUGAGAGGUUUUCCAAGAAGGAAGAGCAUCAGAAAUUACAGAGAAACGAAAAUAUU